CCCCUAGUWWCGGCGAGUGAAGAGGGARGAGCUCAAAUUUUGAAUCUGGUGUCUUUGGCGYCCGARUUGUAWUCUAGAGAAGUGUUUUCCGUGACGGACCGUGCAUAAGUCUCCUGGAAUGGAGCGUCAUGGAGGGUGAGAAUCCCGUAUAUGGCACGGACUCCCGUUGCUCUGUGAUACACUCUCGACGAGUCGAGUUGUUUGGGAAUGCAGCUCUAAACGGGUGGUAAAUGCCAUCUAAAGCUAAAUAUUGGCGAGAGACCGAUAGCGAACAAGUACCGUGAGGGAAAGAUGAAAAGCACUUUGGAAAGAGAGUGAAACAGUACGUGAAAUUGUUGAAAGGGAAACGCUUGAAGUCAGUCGCGCCGUUCGGGAUUCAGCCUUGCUUCUGCUCGGUUUACUUCCCGUUGGGUGGGUCAACAUCAGUUUCGGUCGGAGGAGAAAGACUUGGGGAAGGUGGCAGCAUUCGUGCUGUGUUAUAGCCCCUUGUUGUAUACUUCGACUGGGAYUGAGGAUCGCAGCACGCCUUUGGSCGGGGUUCGCCCACGUACGUGCUUAGGAUGUUGGCAUAAUGGCUUUAAGCGACCCGUCUUGAAACACGGACCAAGGAGUCUAACAUGUGUGCGAGUGUUUGGGUGUCAAACUCGGAUGCGAAAUGAAAGUGAAAAGUUGGGAACACUUAUGUGUGCACCGACGCCCGGAGCUGACCUUCUGUGACGCAUCUGCGGUAGAGCAUAUAUGUUGGGACCCGAAAGAUGGUGAACUAUGCCUGAAUAGGGUGAAGCCAGAGGAAACUCUGGUGGAGGCUCGUAGCGAUUCUGACGUGCAAAUCGAUCGUCAAAUUUGGGUAUAGGGGCGAAAGACUAAUCGAACCAUCUAGUAGCUGGU
rnacentral:rRNA from 1 species